UCGAUUUGGAGUUUGUUGCCUAGAGUGAUGGGCUCCGAAGCUAACGCGAUAAAUCGACCGCCUGGGGAGUACGGCCGCAAGGUUAAAACUCAAAUGAAUUGACGGGGGCCCGCACAAGCGGUGGAGCAUGUGGUUUAAUUCGAUGCAACGCGAAGAACCUUACCUGGUCUUGACAUCCACAGAAUCUUGCAGAGAUGCGGGAGUGCCUUCGGGAACUGUGAGACAGGUGCUGCAUGGCUGUCGUCAGCUCGUGUUGUGAAAUGUUGGGUUAAGUCCCGCAACGAGCGCAACCCUCAUCCUUUGUUGCCAUCGGUUAGGCCGGGAACUCAAAGGAGACUGCCGUUGAUAAAGCGGAGGAAGGUGGGGACGACGUCAAGUCAUCAUGGCCCUUACGACCAGGGCUACACACGUGCUACAAUGGCGUAUACAAAGGGAGGCGACCUCGCGAGAGCAAGCGGACCUCAUAAAGUACGUCUAAGUCCGGAUUGGAGUCUGCAACUCGACUCCAUGAAGUCGGAAUCGCUAGUAAUCGUGAAUCAGAAUGUCACGGUGAAUACGUUCCCGGGCCU
rnacentral:rRNA from 1 species